UCGAAAGAAUUUUAUGCCCUGAGUAUUUCUCAUAACGACUUAGCAAUAAUAUAAUCGUUGCAUUUAAAAUAGAAUUGCAUUUCCGUUACCGAGUGCAGGAUUAAUUUUGGUUCUUCAGUAUUACGCGUGUGUGACGAGUAGUUGUUGUUGUUCGAGGCAAAAAAAAUCAAUUUUUGCUUUAACAAGUAUUUUCAUACGAAAUAAUGAUAAUAACAUUAUGCCCGUAUACAUUAUUAGUUUCUAAAAAUAGCACAAUAAUUUGAUUUUGAAUUACAUAAUUCUCUCAUUCUUCUAAGAAUUAAUUUUCUUUAAUAAACUAUCGCGUGUCGGUCAGAUAAAAAAAAAAGAAAAAGUAAACGUACUCUCGAUUCUUACAGUAUAUUGGCUUAGAUAUUUUUCAUACAUCUGACUUUUAAUCGGAUUAUUAAAAUUGCAAUAAAGAGAGAGAGAGAGAGAAGCUAACGUUUGUAGCAGCAAACGCGUUGAGGGAAACGAACGGCCGAUGGAAUAAAUUUUCUCGUGGCAAAGGUAAAGGCGCACGCGAGCCGGUCAUCCGACUAAGAAAUUCUUAUCCUGUAGAUCUGGUUCACAAAAGAGGUGGGAUAUAAAGGAGAAAGAAGGAUAGGGAGAGGGAAUGAGAGGGGGAGGAAGAAAGAGAAAAAAAGAAAAAGGGCAUGUUCGUAAUAGUAGCGCGUGCCACGACAAGAAAGAGUAGGGAGGAUUGUCCUGGGGCCAAAAAGGACUCCCCUCUUAUUUUUUGGAAGAAGACGAACAACCACCAUAAUGGACUAGGGUGAUUGUAGUCUGGUGCGUGUAGGGUUGGAUAGGAGGUAGGAACGCGUGUUCUUGACGGAUAAGAAGCAGAAGCAGAAGCAGAAGAAGAAGAAGAAGAAGAAGAAGAAGACGGUAACGAAAACGAAGAAGAGGAAUAGCUGUCGCGCCGGCGGCGUACGACGUCGACGUAGACGUCGACGUUGACCGGCGACGCUGCCGUCGCCGUCGUCGUCGGCGGGUAUAACGCCAGCGGGCAAAAGCGCGUUACCCCCAGUCGGUGGAGCGAGAGAGUCGCGACUAGCAGACGAACGAGAGACCUCGUCGUGACGGAUAAUAAAAAGAAAGAAAGAGAGGGAGAGAGAGAGAGAGAGAGAAGGAUAGAGUGAGAGAGUCGUUGAGUACUAGCAAAUACGGAAAGAGAUAGAAAUAAAGUACUUUUGGAUAGUUUAUCGAGUGUAAAGGACACGGAACUGAUUGGACAGUAGGCAAUACCGUGUAUCAGAGGUACUCGAUGCGCCGGUGCACCACCACCACCAUUAGUACUACCACCACCACCAGCAGCACCACCACCACUGCUAGCACUACCACCACCAGCACUAUCACCGGCAGCAGCAGCAGCAGCAGCAGCAGCAGCAAGCACGAUCAGCAAUCGUAGCCACUGGCAGCACCGCCGUCGCGAGUCUCAGUCGCCACCGGCGCCACUACCGCCUCUACCACCGCCUCUAUAACCACCGCUCUUGGCAGUAGAGCCUCGCAGAGACGUCCACCUCGUGGUCGUCGGCACUUCCUUGCGGACGGUGCUGGUGUCCGGGUGGUUUCUAGGACGUGCGUUUGCUCCACGAGUAAAAAGAGAGAAA
rnacentral:lncRNA from 1 species